ensembl:lncRNA
CAAGCAAGGAGAGGGCACGGAUUGCUCCGUCGGCCCCGGCGUCUCCUCCGUCGGCCCCGGCGUCUCCUCCGUCGGCCCCGGCGUCUCCAGCGCCCUUCGGAUUUGACCAUUUGCGAUGUCCUCUAACAACGCUAACGCAGCCAUUUUUAAAACAAUUUUCUUCAUCCAUUGCGCAUGCUUUUAUAGCCACCCAUAUAAUUGCAAGGUGUGUUAAUUGUUCAUUAGUGUGUCAUUGUUUUCACCUUUUUUCCCAGUUUCCCAGCGUCACCUCUAAGUGUCGCCAAAGGAACAAUAGCUGUAGAAACGUGCGUACGACAGCUCUGGAGCUGGCGUGGGGACCGCACAUUUUUGCGGUCAUUUCACGUUUUGUACAUCUGAACGUGAGCGUGGAAAAGGACGUACGCCACGUUUUUGUGCGUACGAACUUUAGUACAUGAGGCCCCUGGUAUUUUGCCACAGAGGCUACUUUUGACUUCAGUAUUCCUAUAAAGCCGACGUGGUACACACUGCACAGUCUCGUCUCAACGGUGCAAGGAGUCUGUUUGAAACCUGCAUCCUCUUGUGAUUCGGCUGAAAAUGCUGGCAAAAGUGGAAUAUGGGGGAGUCCAAAAAUACAUUAAAGUUCCUCAAACUGAUGACAAUUUCCAUUUCCUCCAGUUUCUUCAAGAAGCAACAGACAAAUUUAGUCUGCAGGCUCAACAUCUAUCCGAGGGUGUGUUAGCCUUGACUGAUGCAUCAGAUACCGAGGUUGAUGCAGACACAUUUGAUGAGCUGAUAAAGUCAGGGUUCCGAAACUUCAAGGUUGGAUACCGCAAGUACCCAGUAACGGGUAAGGAUAAACCUUUUGAGUCCAAGCACCCGUAUAUGGAGGCAGGGUGUUCAUGUUCAUGCUUUUCCACUAAUCGUGUGUAUGUAUUUUUGACUUCAUUUCUAGAGUUGGACAUUGAAUUGGUGGAAUACAACUCGCAGUCCUCCGUAUUGUCAGACUCCACAGCAUCACCAGUUUCAUUGCCAGGACCCCCCGCAUCACCAGCUUCUACAAGUUCAGGUUCGACAAUCAUCCUCCCAUCCACUAAAAACCGGAAGAGAGGCCUGGUAGAGCUGGAACGUAAUGAAGCAAGACAGAAAGUUGAUACUAUUCUGAGGUCCAACCCGAAAGGUGAAGAAAUCUUCAAAGAAUAUGACAAAACUAAGACGCUGUCAGACACGACACGCAGACAUAUGAUCAACAUUCUGGUUGCAGAAAUGACAGAUUCACAUGGGAGGAUUCCCCCCAGAAGUGUCAGGACUAGUUAUGCACUCGGAAUUGUGACCCUUUUCCCAUAUCUACAAGAUCCGUACUCAGAGCAUGGAUAUGAACAUUACUAUGACCCUGAGGCGAAUACUGGCUAUCUUGCUUGGAGACUCAAGACAGUCCAACGCAACACGCACGAUGGCCUCCGUGGGCAUUCCAGGCCCAAUCCCCAGGGCAGUCCAACAACCCAACGAGAAUCUUUGUUGAUUGCUGAACAGCUCAAGGAUGAGGAGUGCAGAGAGGCCGUGUCUGUAAUAAGACACUCCACAGAUGAAUCCGUGGUCAAAGAGAAGAUGAGAGCCACCUUCGAAUACAGACAGAAGCUGGUUCAUGACCAGGAUGCAACAUCUUCAGUCUUUGACGUCUUCCUCGUUUCCUUGAC